AGUAAGAAAAUCAGUGGCAAUGGUGAUACAAUACAUUAGUUCAUCUUUGUUAAAUUUUUUGCUAUUAUACUUCCUGGCCUGCAGGAGUAUUUGCCAGGAUAACACUAUAAAUGUGUGACCUCAGUUUGAACAAUACAUAGAAGGCUCUGGCGGCCCAUGCUUAAUCCUAAUCUAUUAUAGGAUCACUAGAAAUGACUUCGUACCACUACUCUGACAUAAUUCCAUUUACUAUUAAGGUCAUUCCCAAGGAAUCAAACAUUAUAACAGAUUCACUUGGAUAUUAAGAAAUUAUUUUAUAUAAAAUAAGUGCAACAUCAGGAUUUAAUAUUCUAUAUACCUAAACUUAAUAGAAGAGAAAAACUAUACAGGUAUUUCAUUGAAAAUUAUUUGAUAUUAUAUGAAGUAGGUAAUCAUAGCACUGAACCUGGUAAAUUAAAAUCUUUUUCAUCCUUAGAGUUACUAUUUUUAUUUUUGCUUUUAAAUGCACCAGGUGAUCUUCUGAGGACCAUUCACAUUCAAUGUUCAGUUUCAUCUUACUAGUGGCAUAUACAAAGCACCAUAUAACAUAAUAUAUGAAAUGUAAAAUAAUUAUGACUAUGUAAUACUGUAGAAAUAACUGCUAAGAAAAUAUAGCAAUAUUUAACACAGGAUUUCUAAAACCAUUACAUAUUCAUUAUUUUUCCCAAAGCUAAUAAUGUCCCAUGUUUUAUUUUACAGAUGUAGUCUAUCAAGAUUUAUAUGCAUUUGGCCCUUUUGGGGGACUGAAAAUAGCUGAUAUCUUCUGUACAGUAAUGUUACAGUUUUAUACAAACUUAAGAAACGUGGUAUUUGGAACAGUCUUUACAAUCCUCUUCCAACUGUUCCGUUUCACACAACAGCAAAUACUCUGAAUGCCUUUCCUCCUGGAGGAUUCUGUAAACUGCAAAAAAAAAUACACAAAGUACAUUGAUGUCAUCUCCAUGCAUAAUCCUUCAAACAAAUCAUGCUUUCUUAUGACAGUCAAUAAAACAGCUCUGUGAAUCCAGAUGGUCGUCUUUCUCAAAACUGCUAGAAUUUAUAGUUCUUGGAAAGCUUGAGUGGGGAUGACAUAAUUCUUUAAAUCAUAUGCUGGCUACAAGUUUACUAAAGAAAUUUAAGGUGCACAGAAGUAAUAUUGGUACUUUAUAUUAAACUUUAAAGAUUCCAGGUCACAUUUUCAUACAUUACCACCUUUAGUUCCAAUAAAGUAGAGUUAAGCAGUUCUUAAGCCAUUCUACUAGGGAAAUACUAAGAUCCAGGUUUACAACUGGCAUGGUUGAAAGUUUGUGGUGUUGGUGUUUAGCCACUCAGUUGUGUUUGAUUCUUCGGGACCCCAUGGACUAGAGCCCGCCAGGCUCAUCUGUCACGGGAUUUCCCAGGCAAGAAUACUAGAGUGGGCUACCAUUCCCAUCUCCUGAGGUUCUUCCCAACACAAGAAUCAAACCCGCAUUUCCUGUGUCUCCUGCAUUAGGCAGGCAGNNNNNNNNNNNNNNNNNNNNNNGGGAAGCCCUAUGUAGCUGGCAUACUUAUUAAUAUUUUAAACAUAUAUGGUUUAAAACAAAUCUUAGGAAAUGGUCAAGUCUGGAAGGUUCUAAGUAUUUCUUCACCAAAAUGGAAACACGAACACAAACACAAAUCACUCAAUCUCUUUUCAGAAAUAUUUUAAAACAGAACUUCAAAGCAAUGCAGAAUCAUUCCUUUUACUCUUUAAUAAAUUAUUUAUAUGCUCUCUGACAACAUUAAUCACGGUAUGUUUUGCUUAAAUGCCUCAAGUUAAAACCAUUAAUCAUCAUUUAUUCUAAUCAAAUGUAAACUUUUGAAGUCUAUACUUUUGCAUAAAAGGUUAUUUUCUAAACAAUACAAAAAAGCUUUUAGAGAUAAAUACAAUAAAUGCUAUGGGGAUACAAAAUGCAAUUUUUUAAUAUAUGUAUUCAUGUACUACAAAAGGGGAGAAUUUUAAAAUGAAGAAAAGAAUGUUAGAACUGUGCACACACCACAUUACACAAUAACACACACACACAGCAGAUUUUGCAUACAAGCAUAUGGCUAAUUGAAGGGCAUUUUUAUUUGUAGGAAACAAAUUGACAAAAUGCCCUAGAAAGCAUCUUUGUACAAACUGAUAAACUGGAAAAAUGUGUUAUUUCUGAACUUACAGAACUAGUGAUGAAUCUGAUUUCUGAGACUUAUUAGUUAUAUGACCUGGGGCAAAUCAUUUAACCUCUCUGAGCCUCAAUUAACAUAUCUGUAAAUCAGAGUUUGUAAAACCAACUUUAUAAGGGUACUGGUACAGCCAAGUUCAUAUACUUAAAGGGCCAACAGCAUCUGGAAAAUUCAUGGUAGGUGUUCAAAAAUAGUCUCAGUUUUCUUAGGAUAUCAUCUAUCUUAUUGUUUCUAAACAAAUUUUUAAAAUAUGAUAGGUGAAUGAGAUCACAUUACUCAAUUUAG
ensembl:lncRNA